CAGCAGCCGCGGUAACACGUAGGUGGCAAGCGUUGUCCGGAAUUAUUGGGCGUAAAGGGCUCGCAGGCGGUUUCUUAAGUCUGAUGUGAAAGCCCCCGGCUCAACCGGGGAGGGUCGUUGGAAACUGGGAAACUUGAGUGCAGAAGAGGAGAGUGGAAUUCCACGUGUAGCGGUGAAAUGCGUAGAGAUGUGGAGGAACACCAGUGGCGAAGGCGACUCUCUGGUCUGUAACUGACGCUGAGGAGCGAAAGCGUGGGGAGCGAACAGGAUUAGAGACCCCCGUAGUCCCUGUCUCUUAUAC
rnacentral:rRNA from 1 species